rnacentral:rRNA from 1 species
ACGGUGGAUGCCUUGGCACUAGAAGCCGAUGAAGGACGUUACUAACGACGAUAUGCUUUGGGGAGCUGUAAGUAAGCUUUGAUCCAGAGAUUUCCGAAUGGGGAAACCCAGCAUGAGUUAUGUCAUGUUAUCGAUAUGUGAAUACAUAGCAUAUCAGAAGGCACACCCGGAGAACUGAAACAUCUUAGUACCCGGAGGAAGAGAAAGAAAAUUCGAUUCCCUUAGUAGCGGCGAGCGAAACGGGAAGAGCCCAAACCAACAAGCUUGCUUGUUGGGGUUGUAGGACACUCUAUACGGAGUUACAAAGGACGACAUUAGACGAAUCAUCUGGAAAGAUGAAUCAAAGAAGGUAAUAAUCCUGUAGUCGAAAAUGUUGUCUCUCUUGAGUGGAUCCUGAGUACGACGGAGCACGUGAAAUUCCGUCGGAAUCUGGGAGGACCAUCUCCUAAGGCUAAAUACUCUCUAGUGACCGAUAGUGAACCAGUACCGUGAGGGAAAGGUG